AUAAUAUCAAAAUCGCAGUGAGCUUGGGAAAAACAUCCUGGAUGUGAAAAAAGAAAAUCACUCCUUCAGGGACAGAAAAAACUAUUUCUCAAAGAAAGAAUCUUGGACUCUUCUUGAUUCUACUCAGAUUUGGAAUUUGACUUUCUCCAGAUACAAAUUUGUUUUCCAUUUGUUUGCAAGUGUUGCUGGCAAUAUAGAGAGAUAAUGUGUCAUUGGAGACAUUAUCUUCUCUUUUCUUAUGAUUUUAUUGUCUUGUGAACAUUUCUAUGUAUGCAAUGAUUUGUACAGGCUAUUAUUCAUUUGUUAUGUUUGCUUUUUUUUUCUUUUUUCCCCCUUCUCAGCAGGACACAGACUGUGUGUGGGCGUACUUUCUUGAAUUGUGAUAACACAGCUUGUUUGUGGAGGAUUGUCCCCAGGACAAAUUCAUGGAGUCAUAGGUGAUCCUGAUGCUUCAGGGUUGAAAAUGUGUAUCUGAAUGAAAUACCUUGGUUAAGACAAUGGGAAUCUUCAAUCACUGGUCGUUAACCUUUAAGAAUGAACUCCUGAAGACGGAGGCUCAAAGAAACCAGGAGAUUAAAACCUGUGGAAAGGAACAAGACAGUGAUACAGAUUCACAAUAAAAUACUGGAGGGAUUUUAGAAAGCAUCAUUGAGGAGGAGUUUUUUCUUCCUGACAGAUAAAGACUUUGUUAAGACAGCACUCUGACUUGAGAACACCCCUUGUAACUCAUAGUAGAGUGACAGGUUUGGCAUACCAGAGGAUAGAAAUCUAAUCCCUUUUAAUGGAUGAUGGAGUUCAAAACUUCUGACCUUCCAGGACAAAAAUGAGCAUAAAUCUUAAGAUAUUUUUGAACAGUUUUGGUCCCUCUGUGUCAGAAAAGAUGUUACAACUGGAAAUGUUGCACUAAGGGCAAUGAGGAUGAUCAAAGGUAUGACAUGGCUUCUGUAUGAGGGAUGAUUAAAUAGAGAAGUCUGGCCUGGUAGAGAAAUGAUGCAAGGUAUACAUGGCAGAAUGUCUUGAGUGUCAGGGAGAAGGUAAAUAGCGAAAGAUUGUCUACUGUCUUUUCUAAUAAAAUAUGUAGGAACGUCAGAUGAGACAAUGAAACAAACAGAAGGAGGUACUUCAGUUACAGCUAUCUAUGGAAUUCUCUUCUGCAGGACAUU
ensembl:lncRNA